rnacentral:tRNA from 1 species
GCCGGGGUAGCUCAGUGGUAGAGCAGCGCAUUCGUAAUGCGCGGGCCAGGAGUUCAAAUCUCCUCCCCGGCU